rnacentral:rRNA from 1 species
UACCAGCACCCCGAGUGGUCGGGACGAUUAUUGGGCCUAAAGCAUCCGUAGCCGGUUUUACAAGUCCUCCGUUAAAUCCAGGCUGCUUAACAGAUGGGCUGCGGAGGAUACUAUAAGACUAGGAGGCAGGAGAGGCAAGCGGUACUCAGUGGGUAGGGGUAAAAUCCGUUGAUCCAUUGAAGACCACCAGUGGCGAAGGCGGCUUGCCAGAAUGCGCUCGACGGUGAGGGAUGAAAGCUGGGGGAGCAAACCGG